UACGGGGGGGGCAAGCGUUGUUCGGAAUUACUGGGCGUAAAGGGCUCGUAGGCGGCCAACUAAGUCCGACGUGAAAUCCCAAGGCUUAACCUUGGAACUGCGUCGGAUACUGGAUGGCUUGAAUUCGGGAGAGGGAUGCAGAAUUCCAGGUGUAGCGGUGAAAUGCGUAGAUAUCUGGAGGAACACCGGUGGCGAAGGAGGGUCUCUGGGCCGAUACUGACGCUGAGGAGCGAAAGCGUGGGGAGCGAACAGG
rnacentral:rRNA from 1 species